GAAACACAGCUGACUGGAAAAUAAGAAACUUUGUGUGUGUGCCUGAACAGUGCUGAAAAGAAGAAGUAGCAGGAGUUCCAAAUGGAGUUUUUACGUCAGUAUUUCUGGACAGUAUUACUGCUGGCCAUCAUUCUGGUAUCUCUGGUGAUAGUAAUGAUUUUCAUAAUCAUCAAUGUUUGCAUCAGUAAAAGAGCUGCUAGGUACAGUACACAAACAAAACCAAAUCAUGACAGUGACAGAAAUAUAAAAAACCAGAACAACCAAGUUCAUCAUAAAGACCUUGAGAUAGAGAAACCACCUUUACCUCCCAGAGAUCAGUUCAAAUCCAUGGAAUCUGUGGAUCAGGGUUAUGAGGAUUUGGAACCUGCGUCAGACUAUGUGGAGGUUGAGGAUGAUUUGAACCUUCCUGCCCCCCAACAACCCACCUUCACUCCACACUACACCACCGUCGAGACUAAAAGCCAAGACGCUGUUUCUGAGGAUUAUGACGACGUUGAAAUCCCUGUUAUCUAUGACAGCGAGGACUAUGAUGACAUAGGGUAAAAGACACAAAAUCAAUGACUUUCCCUUCAGCUGGACACAUGAGCAGACCCUGAAAUCAACUGCAUGUUUCCUUCAAGCUACUAUUGUACAUUAUUUAAGCAAAGAAAGUUUCUAAUAGCAUAUAAACUACAGGUGUGUUUACUUUUUCUUAUCUAAACUGAUAUUUCCCUUCCCAUUUUUAGAAAUGUAAUACAUCUUUCAAAACUGUCAUUUGAUUUGUCAUUUUCUGUUGAAGCAUCCUACUGUAUGAGACAUUUGUGCGAAAGUGUUUAUGCGAGUUCAAAAGAUGUUUGAGAAACAUCUUAAUAGGCCUAUGCUUUAUAUAGUAAGCCUUGUAAUGAUUUGCACUGAAAAAUUUCAUGUCUUAUAUUAAAUUGUACCUUUUUUAUUAUUCCAGUGAAUCAAAAUGAUUUUUGGAAAAGAAGAACAACACACAAACAAGCAGUUCUCUGAAACUGAUUCCAUACAUUUAUUCUUAAAAAGAAAAGAAAAGAAAAAAGAAACAAGUACAAUGGUGACUAUCAAUAGAUAUUUGUCUUUCACAGCUGCUCGAUUUGUAAUCGCUGCUGUUCAGGGCAGCAACAGGAACAUAUCAAAAGUCAGUUGUUUUUUUUAAACCCAUGCCCACAGUCAGAAGAGCGUUAUGGGCCUUGCAGACAAUUCGAGGCGUAUAAUUUCCGUGCACACAAACUACAAGUCUCCCUCUUGCUCGGUGGAGCUCCUGUUCUUUUGUACACAAGAGAAACAAGUCGAGAAAAAGAAGAUUUUCUUUCUCUUGCUCUCAGAGAUGUCCAUUAGGUG
ensembl:lncRNA